GGCACCCAUCAAUAUCUGUGGAAUGGGUGGGUGGGGGAUUCUUCUCUCUUGCUCAAGUCCCUUCCUUUCUAUUCUUCUUUAUUUUCCUUUCUCCUUUACCCCCCUCCCUUUCGCUUUUGGUAAUGGUGGUGGGGAUUGAUAGACUAGAGGAUUGCUUGCGGCGGCCUAAAAGAAAAGUUUAUUAUUGAUGGUGAUUGGCUUCAACAAUCAAGAAAGGCAGGGGCUGCUUGGAUUGCUUUUGACAAAGAUGGGCAUCAAUCAAUAUCCAAGAAAUACUCAUUUUUGGCUUCCUCAACUCUGAUGACUGAAGCUCCUGCAUGUUUUGAAUUCCUGAUUUGGUGCAACGCUAACAAUGUCAAAACGUUGAAAUAUUUACAGAUUACUUGCUGCUUGUCCAAACGAUCAGCGGAAUGGGAUUUGGCUUAUUUUAUUUUGGAUAUAUGCGAACUGUGUAAGAAUAUGGAUUAUGUAUGUAUAACCAAAGUACCUAGACAA